AAACUGUACAAUUAGUACCUCUUCCUUAAUUGCCAUUGGAGGCGAACCGUGCUUCGUGCGAAGUUCGUUAUGAACUUGAAGGCAUUCUUCAAUAUAUUCUCGUGGGGUGGUCACGCGAGCCUGGAAAAAAAAAUUGCAAACCUUUGGAACGUCUUCGCUAGUGGGAUUUCCCAUGAUGAAUUUUUACCCCAAAAUAUUUCCAAGUUUUUGAUUUCUUCUAACUUCUGCUCCGUCUGGAUGUCCACACCUCCUUAGCCCACGCUUUAAAUAGUCUCCAGGAUCCAUACCAAUUUUUUGUAUCGCAUCAACAUCAACAUUGUAUAUAUACCAUAAAAUUAGAGCAAAAUAUAAAUACGACCUUAAUUUUUACUCAUAUCUACACCUUUAACACAUUUAAUUUUGUGUUUAAACCUCUCCAAUAAAAAAUUAUGAUCCACAUUAUUCUGUCAUGUUUAUGAAAUUGAUGUGCAAUAUCAUCAAUUUUUGGGUACAGAUUUCUACCCAAAAGUGGAAGAAAAUGGGAAAGAUUUAAUGGUAUUAAGUAAGCCAAGCGAUAGUUGAAGUCAAGUCGAGUUGACGACCCUGUAAUUAACUUAAUUAAGCUGCUUGGCUCCUGCUGGGAGCAUAUAAAUCACUAAUUGUUUCGUCUCUCGUAUAGGAUCAACUUGUCGAGUGUGCAUUGGUCAAGUUUAAUUAUGGACAUGGUUACUGAUCCCUCCAGUCCUCCUUUUCUGAUUUAUUUAUGACGGUGAUGGAUGGACGGAUGAAUUCAUGGACUGGACAUUUCCUCCUCGUCCAUCCUGGCAUUCGAUGUAAAAAAUACUCCUCCCCCUCGGGCGAUCCAAGUGGCUUCAGUCUGGCCCAGUUAAGUUUGGCAUAUUUUGCAAAAUACAAAAAAUGCAGGAAUCUCAUUUUCUUUUUUAAAUAAAAAACCUCUGCCUAAUAAUUAUAAGCAAACCUUUAUGGAUUUGUAUUCGAGUUUGCUGCGUUUGAUGUCCAAAGCUGAAAAACAGUACUUGUACUGACGCUUGUUCGACACCCUUAAUAAAAACUUAAUCAAUCAAUCAAUCAAUCAUUACAGAUUAAAAAAAUAUCACUAAAAAACGAAAUUAUGUAACAUUAACAAAAUAAAUCUCUUACGACAUA